UUAGUAUGAGGAACGAGCAGCAGGCGGUACAGUCAAAGUGACAACGUUAGCCAAACUGGCAAAACACAUUAAGCAGGGUAAACUGAGAGCAAACUUGCGUCACAGCAAACGGAAGUGAUUUUUUAGGAGCAUCCUUCCCAAUACUGCCUACUCUUGCCGCGGGUGGAAGCAGACACGUGAUGGCUACACAGCGUUAUAGCGGCUUAACAAAACGGGGCGGUAAAAGACAGCCAUCGAAAACAGUCUAUUAAUGAAAUAUUUUCGCUAGAAGUUAUUUAUAACACUUCCGUCGAUGAGCGAUUCGUCCAUCGACACCCUUCUUUAGACGAGUGGACGCUAGUGUCGCUUUCGCAAAUGAAGUCAUCAAAAGUGAUUUUUUGCGAAACUGAAAGUAAUUUUUUUUUUGCGAAAUACUCAGGAGUGUGCUCAGCACAUGCCAAGCGUCAUGUCUCACUGGGCAAGCUAAACAUCCAUAAAUCAUGAAGUGAAGCAAUACGAAGUCGACUGACAGUAUCAGUUUGGUAAUUACUUUCCGUUGCUCCAAAAAUGGCUAAUAAAAAUAAGUGCAUUUAUGCUAUACCAAUGUUA